AUCUAUUUUCACACAAAUAGUAUGAAUUCAACAUAAAAAAAAAUCUGUGUAUUCAGUUAAAGUGUGCUAUUCACUAUCAGGAACAAUCGAUAUCAAUGUAUUGCAAAUAUCACUUUUCUACCAAAAACUACCUUACAAACCAUGAAAAUACUAAAAUAUUUUUUGUUGUUGAGGUUUUGGUGAAAACAGUCAACCUUUAUAAGUUGAUUAUGUUUGUAUUUUCUGGGCCAUGAUGUUGAAAAUAUUCACCAGAAUUACGAGGGCAGAAAGCUGGACUGCUGCAACAAGUCAGGACACAGAUGUGUAUUUUCAAAAGUUUGGUUACAUAUACAAUCAACAAGGCCUCGAUAUGUACCUAUGUGACCUCUAGGGGUCGUUAUCUAAUGGUUAACCAAUAUCAAGCAGUAUUGACUGUCUCUGGUCUAUCAAUAUAACGACAGGUAAACCCUGAAGAGAAAAUAGCAUUCCCUGAGUGAAGUGUUUCUAUUUUUAGUUCACGUCUAUAAUAUUUAUACCGGUAGUUAACUUUACUGCCGUUGUACGUCAAAGUAGAUUACAUGUUUUAGGACUGGUUGUUAAUUGCUAUUUGACAUUUGAAGAUGCCAUGGAUGUCUACUCGAAAGUUCCACAUAUAAAACCAGUAGAAAUACAAGAAUAUAGCAGAAACGGGCACUGGCAAUGCUGAUAUCUAACUUCACGUCCAAUGGAAUAUUUACAACGGAAGUUAAUCUGAACUACCUUUCUGCAUGUAUGUCGAAGGAAAUUGCAUCUAUCAAAAUUCGUUGUUAGUUGCUACCCAACGCUUGAACAUGUCAUGGAUGCCUACCCGAAAGGAGUAAAUAGAGGCAGGAAAAGCACUAUGAUUCAUGCAAUGCUUCAUUUCCGUUGUUGGAAGUUUAUACGAGACAUCUUUAUUAAAUAAUAAACGCCUUGGGGGUAUACUUGGAAUACUAGAAGUAGAAAUACCUCUUGCACGACCGAAAUGUAAUGCCCGGAGCAACACAGGAGUUGCAAGUUCACAGAACAAUAAUGUCCGUAUCCACUGUGAAGACGAAAUAGUGAAUAGUGAAUGUAGAACUAGAACACAAAAUGAUGACACAUUCCUGAUCAGCGUUAAGAUAUUUAUGUCAAGAACCCAGAGUUUCGGAAACGUUGGUUUUUACCUUCCAUUUGAUAUGUCUAUAGAGAACAUGCAUAUAAAAACAGUUCGUGUGAGGGUUGUUUCCUGCAAAAUAGGGGAACCGACUGAAACUUUCCAUGGAACUUUCAGAAUGUUGAGAGCUGAUAUAGCUGCAAAACUUCUUGCACUUCCAGAAAAUAAACGCCUCACGUCAACAACGAUAGAUUUAAAGGAUAAUAUACAUUCAGCAACAUUCUUUUCGAAGCUAAAAAAUAUCUACCACAGUCAAGGGAACGAAGAUCAAGUACCAGAAUUGGAAAAACAAACUGUGUUUGAACAAACCAAUGUACAAGUCGUUAUUCAACUGAUAUCUGUAUUCCUUACAGAUCUUAGAGGAGAAGGACAUUUCCCACCUUCGCCAUCGGCUGGUCAUACGCAUUUCAUUUUGCCAAACACAAGACCUUUAGCAUUGCUUUCUGAUGUUGUAGACACAACGAAGACCUCCAUCAUGCGUCUGUUGUCAUUUGUCUAUACCGCAAGCAACGUCAUAUAUCCCGAAAUCGCAAGGACUGGAUUUUACCUUAUCGGCAACACUGGAAUUGUCACUUGUACAAAAUGCGAAUGCAUGCCUCGUGUGGACGUCUUCCAACAAAUGGAACAAUCUGAGUUUGAUCAAAUGCACAAUUUUGGAUGUUGUCAUCGCAAGUCCUCCGAAGACCAGCUGAGAUAUUUAAGUCACAACAAUUCUAGACUCGACAUUCCUGAUGUUCUUGAUGGUGGAUUUUUAUACAGCUUUCGACGAAUGCAUGCAAGUAGUUCGGUUAGCUCAUGUCAGCUAGAUGCUGCACAGUCUCAGAUCGGAAACACAACUGAACACAAUUGCCCGAAUAACACGACAGCAGGUCAUUCCGACAGAAAGCCACGCAAUAAUGUAGUUACUAUCGUGAAAAAGACCCAUGCAUUUUGCAGGGUAUCUAGCUUUUCAGGUUGUAGCUUCGACGCGGACACAUUUAUGCAUGAUUUGACAUGGACGUAUGUUCAACCCUCUUCCUCAGAAAUGCCACAUUAUCCCGUGUGGAGUGCAUUUAAAUUGCCAAGCAAAAGGAGUGAUACAUUCAGGGGCUCAACAAUUGCUAAGGGUUUGAAAGGAAAACUUGUUGAAAAUGGAUUUUUCUGUCAAAGAAACCUUAUCCGGACGUUCUGCUGUGACACGCCCUACAUCAUUGGUGUUGAUAAGGAUCCGGCGAUUGUCCAUGCUAGGUCCUCGUGUCCUCGUGCUAUUACGCAAGAAUAGCAUCAGUGAGAAACAUAGAACGUCCAAGACGCAAAGGCGUGACAUUAUCAACAUGCUCGAAAAUGAUCAACUACAUGUACUGUGGCGCAUUAGAUUACGUUUGAUGGACUUCAAUUUGAGUUAAGUUACUUCAAUAUUGCUGAGGAGUUUCCUGACGUUAGAAGUGAUUAAGUGUAGUAUUAUCGUGGAUGUGAUAUACACCUGGACCGCGACAAGGCCAUAUUCGAAAUUCAUGUUUUUGCAACUGGUUCAAAGAUUGACACAGUAAACACAGUAAAAAAAACCAUGGGUUUAAAUCACAGUGAGGUUUCUUAUAAGCGUAUGAAAGUACUUCAUUGACAUAAUCAAGGUCAAGUAACUAUACGUCAACUUAGAUAAUCUCAUAUUGUAUUUUGUUUGGUAUUGAUGGAGACAUUGUAUGAGAUUUUCUCUACAGUAACGUCCCAUACUGGUACUUGAAAUUGUAUCUUCGUAUAUUGUAUCUUUGUGUAAAAUAUGAAACAUAAAAAUGAUAAAAAUGAUGUCUGUUUAACUUUUAAUGUCAACAUAAAAUGUUCAUACUAUUCUUUUGAUCAAAGAUUAAAUUAUCUCAUUUGCACAUCUUAAUAGGUGAACUUAUAAAAGCUAAGCAUUAAAAAUAUAUGUCAAUGAUAUAGUUUACCAACAAAGAAAUGUGUCAAAUUUUAACUUUUGAAAAAAAUAAAAUUAUAUAAAACAUGUUCACCAUUAUUUUAUGGCAGUUAUAUAGUUACAAAAUAUAGUCUCACCAUAAGAACAUCCUUAGGACCAGUUAUUGGUCCAUGCACUUGUAUGCAUUUUUAUUGUAGAUUCAGCACAUUGGUCCAUGCACUUGUAUGCAUUUUUAUUGUAGAUUCAGCACAUUUGUCCAUGCACUUGUAUGCAUCUUUUUUAUAGAUGCAGCGCAGGUUAAUUACGGUACGAAACUCAUGUCUUAUGAUGUAUAUAUGGAUUUUAUUUGAAUCAGACAGUGUAAAUAAUGUAAUUAAUAUAACAUGACGAAAACUAUUUUUAUUCAAAAUAACAUUCGUGUAUUCAUUACAUAGCAUGUCCCACUCCGCGCACAUGUACAACCAUGUCACAAAUAUUAAAAAUAAUGUUUAGCCUUUCAAAUUUAUACAGAACAACAUGAUAUGAUGUUUAAGUGAUGGCUUAAUCGAAUUAUCUAUCACAACGUGAAGUGUUUCUGUAUGUUAAUUAAAGUAGAAUUGCACUGGUAUCGGAAAACACGAAAAAAAUUGCUAAAGGGACAGAUAAUAAGAUAGUUAAAGUUUGGGAGAAAGAGAAAGAGUUGAGUUCGAGAUUGGAGUUAGAGAGUAGAGUUCGAGAGUUGAAAAAAGAAGGUUUAGUUAGGGAGACCGAGUUGAGAGGUCUAGAGACAUUAAGGAGAGUUAGAAAGUUGGAGAAUAAGGAAGUUAGUAAGAAUAGUAGUUUUAGCUGUAGUUUUAGGUUAGUGUAUAGGUUUUACGUUGGGCUUGGAGUGGAGAGAUUGCGUUCACAUUGGUGAACACUUGUAUAUUUUUGACGAAUUAAAAUACCUGUGUUGUAAAUAAAGUGUAGAUAUAAAUGUG
rnacentral:misc_RNA from 1 species